rnacentral:rRNA from 1 species
AUUGAACGCUGGCGGCAGGCCUAACACAUGCAAGUCGAGCGAGCGGCGGACGGGUGAGUAAUGUAUGGGGACUGCCCGAUAGAGGGGGAUAACUACUGGAAACGGUAGCUAAUACCGCAUACUAUCGGAUAACCCAUAUGGGAUUAGCUAGUUGGUUGGGUAAAGGCUCAACAAGGCAACGCUCCGUAGCUGGGUUGAGAGGACAACCAGCCACACUGGGACUGAGAAACGGCCCAGACUCCGACGGAGGCAGCAGUGGGGAAUUUUGGACAAUGGGGGAAACCCUGAUCCAGCCAUCCCGCGGUGAUGACGAAGGCCUGCGGGUGGUAAAGUACUGUUGGCAGAGAAGCGGGAUCUGCUGAGUAAGCACCGGCUAACUACGUGCCAGCAGCCGCGGUAAUUC